rnacentral:lncRNA from 1 species
GCCGCCCUGGAUUACACUAGCAUUUUCACUGGAGUGUUCCACGUCAUUCUCUGAAGAAAACAUGAGAUCAGGGGAAGAUUCUCCAGCAGUACUGUUGGGUAGAUUAUUUUGAGCAAGAGACUCUUUGGGGUCUUUCCAGACACUCAGAAUGAGGUUGCUGAGUCCAGUCACGUCUGCCUGGGCACGUCCUUAGGUUUCAAGCAUUGGCGUCUGCCAUGGAGGGCUCACUAUAUGAAACUGGGGCAAAUCUGAGAAUUACGGGUUUACACCACACAAUCAGCAUCAGAAAUACCUGUGCAGAUCAGCAGUGCUGUAUCACCAAGGAGAAGAAUGAUUCCCGCAGCUGGCACACAGGUUCCGAGGAUGCGUACAGACCAGUCGGGCUGACAGACAUGAAAACAUAUCAGUGUGAUGGAGCAUAACGGAACCUACAAGAGACUAAAGGUACAUGAGGGGAUUCAGUGGGGGUUCACAGAGUGGACAUUCCCC